GGCUCCGCCUCCGCCUCUAACCCCUCCCCGCCGGGCCCGGACCACGCUAGCCGCUGCCUAGCCCGGGCUCCCGGCAGGAGGGCGCCCGGGCCCAGUACCCGAGUGCCCCGGUCUCUAGAGGGCUACGGAGCGCGUCUGCCUCCAGGACCGGGUAUUUGACUGAGCAGCCUGCGAAGUAGAGCGCGGAAGGUCCGCAGUGGGUGCGGCGCGGCGCAGUCGGGGCUAGCCCACUUGCUCAGCGUAGCUUUUCUAGAGCGUCGGGGGUCUCGAGGGGCCGGGGUUGGACAGCAGCUGCGCGACUCCGAGGGACUCUUCUCUGCAGAUCCAGGCCCGCACCUAUCUGCAGAUGUUCUUCCAUAGAGCAAUUCUCUGCACUUCUUAGAAACAACUGUUGCUUAUACAACUGUUGCUUAUAGCAGAAGACAGCCUUUAUCUCUUCCAGUGAUCCACAGACUUGAUGAAAUCAGUUCGGGCCUCAGAGAGAAGAUGAAUUGUAAGCAAAAUUCAAAAAUCACGAUUCUGGGGAAAAAGACCCCCAAAUCCAGAGCCCUGUAGUACCAGCCCUGCUAGUUCAACUGAAGGCUGCAGCAUGCCCUGAUCUAAACGGGAAAACACAACAAGGAAAAUAUCAGAAGCACAAGCCAGAGCUGUUGUCCUCCUUACUCAUCCACUCAUCCAUCAAGAUAAGUCAGCUCUCAUCCAACAAGCAACUUAGCCGCUGACACACUGCCAGCUGGUCCCAUCAAGUCAGGUGGCAUGGGUCACCCAACAAGCUGCCUGUUGGAAUAGCUGGCUGUUACAUAGCCUGUUAAGAACCAGGCGAACAAGACCACCAAAAUGUGGCAGCUGCUGUCCAGACAAGACACCUUCAGGCAGAGCUGGGUGCAGCCCGGUGACUCGUGCAGACAACAUCUGGGUUUUAGUUGGAAGACGGCCUCUGCAUUGGAUGAAGCUCUUCCCACAGACUGCAGAUGCCCUGUGGAUGGCUACCUUCCUCUCUGUGAUGGACUGCACCCUUGAGCCAGCCCAAAGAAACACUUCUUUCCCUGAGUCACAUUCACCGGGCAUUUUUUCACAGCAAAGAGGAAAGUGACUAACACAAGUUGUUACCCCAUUUCUGCUAGAUCUGGGCUCCUUUCAUUAGUCAACAUGACAUGGAUUGAACACCCACUCUGCCCUACUACUGAUCUACAAUGAAGGUGCCGGAACAAGGAAGUUAUGGGAACAAGACAGAGUUGGUUCAAAGAGAUGAUCGACAACAGCGCAGACAUGAAUGAGCAGGAUAAUGCAUGAUGACAGCCCAGUGAAGACCAUAAAGCAGAGGAUCCGGGGGCCAAGGAGAAUAUGUCUGCCCUGUGGUCAGGGAGGUCAACUUUUGGGGAAGUAUUUAACAUUGUCCCUGAGGCCUGUGCUUUGAAUCUUCUUGGCCCAUUUCUUAAUAUCAUGGCUCUCAUGACUUGAUCUUAGUGCCUUUCCUCCGCCAUUUCAGCUGUAGGACCCCAGGAAGGCUUCUCAGAGCCUCCCACAGCAAGCCAUAUGCUAUCCUACUACUUAUAAACCCACACUCUAUAAUGGUCCUUCACUCUGGCACCUCAUUAUAGAAAGUAGGAUGAAGUUGGCACCGAGAAUGAUUCCUAUUUGCUUCAGCCACAGUAAUCUCUUCAUUUUCUAAGACUUCAGUUAUGUGUGUUCAAUCAUCAUGGGAAAAUAUUGAAAAGAAAAUUAUUAGAAAUAAGCAGUUUAUUAAUUUAAGUGACUUUUAUUAUAGCAUUUUGUUAUAUGGCUCUACUUUGUUAUUAGUUGUUGGUAAUCAUUUACUAUGCUUUAUAAAUUAUUUGUCAAUAUUAAUAUUUGUUUAUAGGAGAAAAGAGUGCAUAUAGGAUUUGAUGCUAUCUGGGUUUCAAGCAUUCACUGGGGGUCUGGGAAUGGAUCCUCUGAGAUAAAAGGGGCAUGUCUCUUUUAAUACGCAUAAGGUUUACACUGCAGUACUGCUAAGUUCACUUUACUAUUUGGGACUCUGCUGAAAUUAUCUCUUUGCAGAGGAAGAGUAUCUCACCACCCACAUCAGCUUCCUCCUUCACCCAGAACAGAUUCCCAGAAAAUAAAAGUUCCUAAGACUGUUCUAGAAAGUUCAGAGACACAGAUGAGAACUUUGCUCUUUAAUCAUGCUUCAGGAAUGCAGGUGUUAUCUGUACACACUAUUAUCAAUUGUCUUUGAGAUCGCUGGCUAGAGUAAGCUUGGUCAUGAUUUCUAAUCAUUAGAGAUAGGUUGGGAGUUUUCAAUUCAUUUAUUCUCUUUAUUGUAGCUAAUUGAAGAAUACGUUGCCUUUGGAUUCAAAUAGCCAUUACUGGUUCUCUUUGCCAAGCCCUAUGCAAGACAUAUCUCCUUGGGAUUUUGUGAUGGCUUAGUGCUCUGUGUCAGGGAUAGAGAGGUGAGGCUCAGGUGAAUUAAGGGCUAGCUCAAAGUCAAAUGUAGGGGUAGAAACACGUGCAAGUCUUCUGACCCCAGUACAUGGACUUGCAGGCUGGAGCUCUCCUACCUUUCUUUUUACACACAGUAUUGACUCACAUCUUGAGGAAACUGAGGUUAAAUGUAAUGCGCAAGCAUUCAUCUUUGUAAAGAUUUGUUUCAUUGGGACCACUGGUUACAAGUGAAAGCUACAGUGGAUGUGUCCAUGACAUAGAUUAAACACGAUUACAGAGGAGGUGGUGUAUCCCUCACAUCUUGACUUCUCUUACGUUUAAUAUAACCCUGAAGAGGACACAGAAGUUCAAAUAGAGCAUAUGGCAUUCAUAAGGUUACAUACAUGUAAUCAUACAUGAUACUUUUAUUGUAAAUAAAAAACACUAUUUAUAAUGGCAACAAGUGCAUUAUACAGAUAAAACAUAGGACUGCAGCUUCAUUAUUUAUUAAAGGAAAGAAAAAAAAUCUACACAAGUGAUCGGGGAAACAUAGUCUUACUCUGGUGGCAUUUGUCCCUAGAUUGUCCCUAGAUUGCUUUACAGAUUUCAUCACAAUUCAAAUCAAAAUCAUAGCAGGAAUUUGUGGGAUUGUGAUAAACUCAUUUUGAGUUUUCUAUGAAAGUAAUAAAGGCUUUUGAGUAAUCAACACUGAAAAAGAAAACACAGGAAUGGGAGCACUCGACUAGUAAAUGAGACAUUGUUGAGAAGGUGCAGAACAAACAAAUAAACCGAUGGAGAAUCCCUAAAGCAAGGUCACUUGUGCUGCAGUGCACUGACAGAACUCAACACAGCAGCUGUUCUUCAUCGGAGAGGCUGCGACCAUGUAAAAUCAGGAAAUCUUCAAGAUCAGGCCUGUUGACCACUGAUGCUCCCUUACAGGGGAAAAGGUGGAGAGAACAUGGGGAAGCUUAUUACACCUUCUCUUGAGACUCCAGCUUUUUCUUCCUGAACCUCCCAGCCAGUUGUAUAUAAUUCUGUUCCACCUGCACAUGGUCUCAUAGUCUUGGGAGUAUACAGUCUGUGGCAGGCUAGUGGAAGGGAGUGACUCCAUAUUUGCAGUGGUGGGGAAGUCACCCAUCAUUGACAUUGGGAGUGGUUGUGUGGCUACUUUGGGGUCAUUAAUAUACCUAUAAAUAAUUCUUCACCCAUGCUCUGUAAGUAAAAAUAAAGUUAUUAACUCAC
rnacentral:sRNA from 1 species